rnacentral:misc_RNA from 1 species
AGAUGAAAAAUGGGCAUGGACAGAGCUAUAUCAGAUGGGGCAACUGAUGCUGCGGCCUGAGUAUCCUCCAGUCCACUUGAAAAACAAAGUGUCUGAUGUCAGCUCAAAUUCGGAUGCAACUCUUGUUUCUGAUGGUACUUGGAGGGAGGGCGAUUUGGUUGACUGGUUGUGCGAUGACUGUUAUUGGUCCGGUCAAGUGACGAAGUUACUAGACAAUGGUAAAGCUAAGAUUGAGUUGUUGCCACCUCCAUUGGGUGAAGGUAAAACUUAUGACGCCUUUGUCAAGGAUUUGCGUCCAUCCUUGGAUUGGUCUCCAGAGCGUGGUUGGGUUAUGCCUGCAUCACAGGUUGGUGAAAGUUCUCGUCAGUAUCCUAAUCUACUUAAACUUGUUAGUCAAGGGCAAGCUAUAGUUAAAGGGAAA